rnacentral:lncRNA from 1 species
UAAUGUGAUCCUCCAUAUUUUAUUAAUGUAGCUGCAGAAGCAUCUGCAUGGCAGCAGUGGCCACCCAUUCACAAUUAUUAUUAUGUGCAUAAUUACAAUUAUUCGUUAAUCGAUCAAUAAGCCAUAUCCACUUGCCCCCUUGUCACUUGCCCCGUUGUCACCGAGGGCUUCUUGAAUUGAUACAUAUUUUCAUACUGUGAAUUAUUGCCAAUGAUAUAUUAUAUAGUUUCGUGUCAGCUACCUGAGUCUAUACAUUGUGUAAUAUCGCACCAGAAGCAACCACAAUCAAAGGACUCGCUGAAGCUACUUAACUACUAGUACAGAAGCUUGCAAAGAUCUUUUCUGAUUCGAAGAAUAUGGAAACUAUUUGUGCUGGUAAUUCAUCAGGCCAUGUUAUGUUGAAUUCUAUUUAUAAUUCUUAUAUUAAUUAAUAUAUGCCUUUAUGAACAAGUAUUCAGAUUUGAAAUUUUCAGGAAAUAAGGAAUGGUCGGAGGCUAGCAUCGCUCCUUUCCAUGGCUGUAUUAUUGAUGAUGGUAUAGGGAAUAACGAUCUUGAUUUUCUUAGAGUCCCUCAAUAUAGGAGAAAUCCUAAUGAAUCUGGGUAAGUGUGGUACUAAAAUAAAAAGUUGUUAUGGGCACCAUAGCAUCUCAAUUGUGUGAGUGCAUGUAGGUUUGCUUCAAUUCGAAUAAUAUGAUCUUUUGGGAUAUAUAUACAAGAGAUCUUGUUGUUCACAUCCAUGUACUUUGCUUUCCUUAAACUAAAUAAAUAAAACUAUUGUGUGUCAG